GACGCACUGUAAAUUGCGUUAUCAAGCAAUAUCUCUUUACAUGAGGCAAAUAUCUCAAGUGGAAAUAUUUAAGUGCAUUUUCGACUUGAUUUUAUUUAAAUCAAUUUUUAAGGACUGUUUGUUCAGAACAAUGAAUAAUGCUAGUGUUUAUUAGGUCUAGGUUGUAAUUACAUUGUAAAAAAAAAAAAGGGAGGCUAUGUUAUGGAAUAUACUUCUCAUUACUUUAACAGAGGUUCAUUGUUGCCUUUAAAGGUGAAAGGAAAUGUAAUGAUGAAGCAAAGAUAAAAAAGUGCAGACGAGCAAGAGGCAGUAGGAUUCGUAGUUUACAAAAAAAACCUGAUAGAAAUACUGACUGAUGUAAUAGAACCUCAGGUACACUAUAUAGAUAAAAGUAUUGGGACACCAGUGUUUUCAAGCCAUAUCAAGUUCACAGUUGUUCCAGCAUCACAAUGUCACUGUGCACAAAACCAGCUCUAUGAAGAUAUGCUUUACAUAGGCUGGAGCACAAGAUAAUGAUUGUCCUUCUAUAAACCUUGUCCUUCUAUUUACCUUUGAGAUGAACUGAAACACAUGGAUGGACUGCACCCCAGGCCUCCUCAGUUCACCUUUACCUGACUUCCUGACUUUCAUAACGCUAUUGUAACCGCAAAUAAAGUCAGAAAGUAAAUUUCAUGCUCUAGUGUCCACAAACAUUUGCAAAGUAUAUAAAUAAAAGUGUAGAAUACUCGUUAUUCAUCACAUAUACAUUACAGCACAGUGUAAUUUUUACUCCACAUAUCCCAGCUUCUUUGGAAGCUGAGGUCAGAGCACGGGGUCUGCCAUGAUACGGCGCCCCUGGACCACAGAUGGUUAAGGACCUUGCUCAAGGGCCCAAGAAUGACAGCUUGGUGAUACGUGGGCUUGAACCCCUGACCAUCUGAACAGCAACCCAACACCUUUACCACUGACCUUUUUUUCCCAUGCAUGCAUUAAUUAAGCAUGCAUGACUAAUAUUUGAACCAUAUUAAAGCUGAAAUUAAACUUCUGGCACUUCUGCUGUCAUUAAAUGUACAAAAUUCUGCAAGCACAAAGGUCAAUGAGUCAAACAAUAUCUGGAACUCAACUUUUCAACUGACAGUCAUCAACUGACAGAUCUAAACAUGAGUAACAAGUAAUAAUAAUCCCAGAUUUUGGAUUUGGGUGAACAUAAUUGCCAAAAAUUUGCAUAUCCAGAAUCUAUGAUUUAGCUGAGGGGGCAAAAAGUUUUGCAUAAAACUGUACCUUAUGCUCAUGUUUUUGUUGCUUUUUUUUCCUGCAAUUAACUUUACACUUAUAGUCACAAGUUUUGACCUGAUACUAAGACCUAAAUAUAGGAUUUUGUGGAACUUCCGUUGUAUCAGCAUCAAUAUUGCUGCUAAUCCAGGGACUUCUUGAAAAUAUUCUAAUAAGAGGAGCAGAGUCGAGUGGCAUAUGAAAAGAAAAAUGAAGUUUAUCAAGUCCAUAAUCAGACCCAUUACCAUCUCAAGAGAUGUUCAGACACAAAAGUUACUACUAAUUCAACCAAGUACAGAUUCUCCACUGCCUAUGCAACAGCGACUCAGAAGUGACACUGCUCUCUCUCAUCCUACUCUCUUCAGUGGAUCCCAGUACUCUCCACUAAGAUUUGAGGAAUUGAUCCCAGCACCUCCACUGGCCAUGCAUCUGAAAUUCAAAAGCCAUUUGCCCUCUACUUUGUCAGGCGGAGUCGGACCUUGGAGGACACGGCAAGUUAUUUCCCUUCAGAGUGUUAUUAAUGACUAGUGAAGCUAAACAUUAUGGGCAUAUGUGAGACUUUUGGUAAGGAAGCUUGAGCAAUUUGUGCAAGGAUUUUAAUGUUGAAGAGAGCCUGUAAAGCUAUCACAGGGGGAGGCUACGUAUAUGCUGCCAAGGUUUAAUGAGAGUGCGCAUCCUGGCAGAGUUUAAAUUUAUUACCUAGUUGGAGAUUAGUCAGUGAUAGAGGGAUGAGGAUGUGAUAUGUAUGGAAAGAAAAUAGCAGACGUGAUAACAAAUUUAAUGUGUAGUUGUACAGAGUUGACUCCAAUAUGACAUUCAACUUUCUAACUUCUGAGGCCAGCCAUCAAUGAAGAGUACAGUUCAAUCCAGUUUUAUUCCUAUAGUGCUUCUAGCAAUGGACAUUGUCCCAAAGAAGCUUUGCUAAUUUAAAUGCAUUGUGAAUGUACGUUAGCAUUGUAAAUGAGUCUCUAUAUAGUUUAUACCAAAGAGUGAGCCAAUGGACUGUUAUUAAUAUCAACAGUUAAAAUUGAUUAGGACCACAAUUUGCCUGAACAGUUUAACCACCCAUCACUUAACAGUAUAAUGGAACUUUAAAGAAUUGAUAUUCGGUGACACCCAGAUGAUGACGGGUUCCCUUUUUGACUCUGGUUCCUUUCAGGGUUUCUUCCUUAUGAUGUCUCAGGGAGUUUUCUUUUUGCCACUGGCUCGCCACUUUAGUGCUUAUACAAUACGCACUAAACUUAUACAUUCCCACUUUAUAACCUCUUUAUCCCUGUAAAGCUGAUUUGGGAAAAUUUCCAUUGUUAAAAGUGCUCUACAAAUAAAAUUUAUAUGAAUGUAUCUGAAUUGAACUUGGAUGCAAAACUGUUCAUUGUAAUUGCAGCUUUAAGGCAUUGUAACAAACUGCUUAUAUUGAUUACACCAUCCGAAAAUCCCAAUUCACACAACUCUCUAACCCCGAUUACUCCUGACCCGUUCCUUUCCCUCUGAAAAACCUAUUUACAAAAGGCUUAACCAAACAAAUAAGUUUUCACCUCAUCAACUAUCGAAUUGUGUAGUGAGCUUUAUAGAUACAGCCUUUCUUGUGAUGGAGAUAAGAAGUGGGGUUGAAAAAUGGAAAGAAAGCCAAUGAUGAGAAAGUAUGAGAGUGAAACCGAGUGUCAUCAACAUACAAGUGAAAAUGAAGGAGAAGAAAAUUGUCUGUUGAGGAAGUGGCACUAGCAUUACAGUAGAAAUAGGCUACACCAAGAACUAGCCUUAUAGCCAAACAUAAUAAUCCCGAAAGUAGCAUUAAAUUAGACUCCAUAUAAGUACUUUUUAAGAGAGCUUCAUGGAUAGUAUAUAUUCUCUGAGGCUAAAAUAAUGUUGUAAUACAUGUAGAACUUGGGCUCACAUAUAAAACAGUUUAUUCAAGCAGACAAGUGUAAGGAAAUGCAAAUCAGACUUCUAUAAUAGAUAUCCAUCUGUUCAUGUGUAUAUGAUGCUUGUAGAUCACCUAGCAUGAGGUCUAUCCCCUCAGAAUCCUGGUAUUUGAAGCAUCCUCAUGUACAUGAUUUCAGAAAUUGUGACAGUUGAAGCGGAGCAAUUUUUCCCCAAAAUCCAUCACCCUAAACUGCACAUCACACUGUAAAAAGCUUCAUGCUGAUCUGACGUUUCAGCGAGAAAACAGUAACUUCAUAAGAAAGAAUUUUAUUCCUUUUUCUCUUUUUUUUCCCCCUCCUUCAGCAACAGCUAAGAUCAGCUUUCAUAUUAAUGGGUUGGGAAUCAAUUUAGAACCCAAACAACCUCCAGAACUCGUUUCUCUGUAGCUCUGUAACUCCUAUUUCUCAAAACAAGUAUGCAGUAUAUAUUGCACUUUUUACAUAGAUCCAUAAUCUAUCAUUUUUAAUAUAUAUUACAUAGAAAACGUGCACUAUUGUUUUGGAUGCCUUUUUACUGUAUAUAAUUAAACACAUUAUUGUAUAAAUAUAUCAUUUUUAAUGCUGUUUUUCUUUUCACCAAACUUGUUAACUUUGUGCUAUUGUUAUGAUCUUGAACAGGUACGAAAGAACAGCUCUAUAAUAAAAAAGCAAACUGUU